AUUUAUAAAGAUAAAAGGCUACAGUCAUUUCUUUUCAUUUUUAGAGUUUUAAAUAGAUCCCAAAGUGCAAUCGCUGUGUGUGUGUACUGGAGCCUGUGUUCUGCCUCCCAGGAAGUAACAGAUGACCAGAGACACCAAAUCCCUUUACUUCACUGAUCUGUCUUACACCAUCUACAUGUUGAGAAAAUCAAAACAGAAUGGCUGGAUGGAAGAAAAGCAAACCAAGAUUUUUCUGGAUUUUAUUUUGCUCUAAUUUUUGGAAAAGGAGGUUUGCUGCUCCACUUGCAAAGCCUGAUUACCAGGAUAGAAAUAGAGAACCCAUUUUCUUGUUUUGGACUACCCAACACAAGACUUCUGUUUCCUGUCUUCUGGUCCCUGGCCACCCUUGGGGCGCUGUCACCCCCAUGCAGCGAGCAGACAGAACUCCUCAGGCGCUGUCCUGAGCACACAGAGUCACUGGUGUCCUUACAGCAGCACAGGAGAGCACCACAUCAGUUGUACUAUAAAGAGCACAGGAGCUGGAACACAAUCUCCUCCUCCUUCCCUGCACUGUUUCACCGGCAGCCUCGCUCACAGCUGGAGGAAGACAGCCUCGCCAGCAGCCUGAGCAGAAGCUGGGAGAAGGGAAGUCUUCUGCUCUUUGCUCUGCAGGAAAACCAUCUUUGUAUAAACUGCUCACAGUAA
rnacentral:lncRNA from 1 species